UGUGAGAAUGUAGUUCAAACUUUGACCUGUGGAGGGCAGUAAUACGCUUAGCAGCGUCUACUCUGCUGGAAUCCUACAAAAAGAAGAAGAACACUAAGAAGAACCAGAAGAACACCGAGAAAAACAAGAAUUACAGUCAGGUUACAAAACCAAAGCUGAGCUUCAAAAACACUUUAAACAGUCCGGGCUUGGGCUACUGUUGCGUCGCGGCGAAUGGGGUUUGAUAAGUUCUGCAGUCUGGACAGUUCCGAUCCAUUUUGGGAUUGGAACCGUACAUGGCACACUGCUAACCCCGACCUCACCCAGUGCUUCCAGAACACUGUCCUGGUGUGGCUGCCAUGCCUCUACCUCUGGAUGUGUGCUCCCAUCUACCUCAUCUACCUCCGCAGCCACGACCAUGGCUACAUAUGUAUGAGUCACCUCAACAAAGCUAAAACUGCUGUUGGCCUUCUGCUGUGGAUUAUCUGCUGGUCAGAUGUUUUCUAUUCUUUCUGGGAAAGAAGUCAUGGCACCAGUGUCCCCGCACUCGUCCACCACGUCAGUCCUACCUUACUGGGCCUCACCAUGUUGCUGGCCACCCUGGUAAUCCAGUAUGAACGGAUGAAAGGGGUUCAGUCAUCUGGAGUCAUGCUGAUGUACUGGCUGCUGGCACUGCUGUGUGCCACAGUCGCCUUCAGGUCCAAGAUCUUCCAGGCCCUGGACCAGCCGUUGACGGUAAACGUGUGGAGGUACACCACCUUCUAUAUCUUCUAUGCUCUGCUGCUGGUUUCACUGUUCCUGUCCAGCCUGACGGACCAGCCCCCCCUCUUCUCCCAGGCCAUCAAAGACUUGAAUCCCUGCCCUGAGCCUGGAGCUUCUUUCCUCUCUAGAAUAACCUUCUGGUGGAUCACCAGGAUGAUGGUGACAGGCUACAAACGCCCACUGGAGGACAAGGACCUGUGGUCUUUGAACUCGGAGGACCGCUCCCAGAGAGUGGUUCCUCAGCUGGUGCGCCGCUGGAACACAGAGUGCCAAAAGAUCAAAAGGACAGAGCAGAAAAUGGUGUACUCCCCCAAGCGGGUCACGCACACUGAGGGCAAAGAGGGCCGAGCUGUUGAAGAGUCUGAAAUCUUGAUUGUAAAAACCUCCCAGAAAACCAAGGAGCCCUCGCUGUUCUGGGCACUGUGCCUAACCUUUGGGCCCUACUUCCUCAUCUCCUGCCUCUAUAAGAUCAUCCAGGACGUCCUCAUGUUCGUUGGGCCUGAGAUCCUCCGGCUGCUGAUCUGCUUCGUCAAUGACUCCAGCGCCCCAUCCUGGCAGGGCUACUUCUACACCGCUCUGCUCUUCAUAUGUACCUGUGUGCAGUCGCUCAUCCUCCAGAAGUACUUUCAUGUUUGCUUUGUCUCAGGCAUGCGUCUGCGCACUGCCAUCAUCGGAGCUGUCUACAGGAAGGCCUUGGUUAUAAGCAGCGCAGCGCGCCGCACCUCCACGGUGGGAGAGAUCGUCAACCUGAUGUCAGUGGACGCCCAGCGCUUCAUGGACCUCAUCACCUACAUCAACAUGAUCUGGUCGGCCCCUCUGCAGGUGGCGCUGGCCCUCUACUUUCUCUGGCAGAACCUGGGUCCGUCUGUGCUGGCUGGAGUGGCUGUGAUGGUUCUGAUGGUUCCUAUUAAUGCUGUCAUCGCCAUGAAAACCAAAACCUACCAGGUGGCUCAGAUGAAGAGUAAAGACAACCGCAUUAAGCUGAUGAAUGAGAUGCUGAACGGCAUCAAGGUGCUCAAGCUGUACGCCUGGGAGCUGGCCUUCAAGGACAAGGUGUCGGAAAUCCGCGAGAGUGAGCUGCGGGUCCUGAAGAAGGCCGCCUACCUCGGGGCAGUGUCCACCUUCACCUGGAUCUGUGCACCGUUCCUGGUUGCCCUGUCCACGUUCUCCGUGUUCGUGCUGAUUGACGAGCAUAACGUGCUGGAUGCCCAGAAGGCCUUUGUGUCGCUGGCGCUCUUCAACAUCCUGCGCUUUCCUCUCAACAUGCUGCCAAUGGUCAUCAGUAGCAUGGUGCAGGCCAGUGUUUCCUUGAAGCGGCUCAGAGUGUUUCUUUCCCACGAGGAGCUGCAGGAGGACAGUGUCGAGCACAAAGCAGUAGCAGGCUCUACACACAGUAUCUCCAUAGUGGAUGGAGUUUUCAGCUGGUCCAGAGCUGAACCCCCGGCACUCAGCAGGCUGAAUGUGUGCAUCCCAGAAGGCUCUCUGGUGGCUGUGGUGGGACACGUGGGCUCGGGGAAGUCCUCGCUGCUCUCCGCCCUGCUCGGAGAAAUGGAAAAACUGGAAGGAAGCGUGGCUGUCAAGGGUUCGGUGGCCUACGUUUCCCAGCAGGCCUGGAUCCAGAACUCCACCCUGAAAGACAACAUCCUGUUUGGUCAGGAGAGGAGGGAGGCCUGGUACCAGCGUGUGGUGGAGGCCUGUGCCCUGCAGCCGGACCUGGAGAUCCUUCCUGCCGGAGACGAGACGGAGAUCGGCGAGAAGGGAGUGAAUCUGUCUGGAGGUCAGAAGCAGAGGGUGAGCCUGGCCAGGGCGGUCUAUUGUGACCGUGCGGUCUACCUGCUGGAUGACCCGCUGUCUGCCGUCGAUGCUCAUGUAGGAAAACAUAUCUUUGAUCAAGUCAUCGGCCCUCAGGGCCUGCUGAAGGACAAGACUCGUGUGCUGGUGACCCAUGGGCUGAGCUACCUGCCCCAGGCCGACCUGAUCCUGGUCCUGGUGGAGGGCCAGAUCACGGAGAUGGGCUCCUACCAGCAUGUCGUGGCCACCCAGGGAGCCUUCGCCGAGUUUCUGCGGACAUACGCUGCCGUGGAGCAGACUGACAACAACAAACCUGUGCCAAAGAGUGGAACCAAAGGAAUAGAGAACGGCAGUGCAACUGCUCUUGCUGGCAGUCCGGGUGUCAGCAGUGUGUCCAAACUGCCCCAGACGGCUGAGGAGAACAAGGUGCUGAGCAAGAAAGCCAAGGACCCUGAGGUGGGCAAGCUGAUGGAGGCUGAUAAGGCCAGCACUGGACAGGUCAAGCUGUCUGUGUUCUGGGCGUAUCUGAAAGCCAUCGGAGUGCUUCUGUCCUGCAUCAGUCUGCUGCUGUUCAUCGGCCAUCACAUGGCCUCGCUGUUCUCCAACUACUGGCUGAGCCUGUGGACCGACGACCCCGUGGUCAACGGCACUCAGCCCGACAGAAUGAUGAGACUCGGGGUGUACGGGGCUCUCGGCCUGUCCCAGGGUGUGGCUGUCUUUGGCUACUCCCUGUCCACGUCCAUCGGGGGCAUCCUGGCGUCCCGCUGCCUCCACCAGUCCAUGCUGUAUGACGUCCUGCGCUCACCCAUGUCCUUUUUUGAGCGAACCCCCAGCGGCAACCUGGUCAACCGCUUCGCCAAGGAGAUGGAUACCAUUGACUCCGUGAUCCCCAGCAUUAUUAAGAUGUUCAUGGGCUCGAUGUUAAACGUGUUGGGUGCUUGUGUUAUCAUCCUGAUCGCCACACCGCUGUUAGCUAUCAUCAUUCCUGUGCUCGGCCUGCUUUACUUUUUUGUGCAGAGGUUUUAUGUGGCGUCAUCUCGCCAGCUGAAGCGCCUGGAGUCAGUCAGCCGUUCACCCAUCUACACCCACUUCAACGAAACGCUGCUGGGCACCUCCGUCAUUCGAGCCUUCGGUGAACAGGAGCGCUUCAUCCGAGAGAGUGACCAGCGGGUGGACCACAACCAGAAGGCCUACUACCCCAGCAUAGUAGCAAACAGGUGGCUGGCUGUCCGCCUGGAGUUUGUAGGAAACUGCAUUGUGUCAUUUGCUGCUUUGUUCGCCGUCAUAGCCAGAGAGAGCCUGAGUCCAGGCAUCAUGGGGCUGUCUAUCUCCUAUGCCCUUCAGCUGACUGCCUCUCUGACCUGGCUGGUGAGGAUGUCCUCUGAUGUGGAGACCAACAUAGUGGCUGUGGAGAGAGUCAAGGAGUACAGUGACACGGAGAAAGAGGCCGAGUGGAAGCACGAGCCCUCCAGCCUCCCCCCGGGGUGGCCCACGGACGGCUGCAUCGACAUCAGAGGCUUGGGCCUGCGCUACCGCCACGAUCUGGAUCUCGCCAUCCGCAACAUCACCAUCAACAUAAACAAAGGAGAGAAGGUGGGGAUUGUGGGGCGUACUGGAGCGGGGAAAUCCUCCCUGAUGCUGGGGCUGUUCCGGAUCAUUGAGGCAGCUGAGGGCCACAUCUUCAUUGAUGGGGUGGACAUUGCUCAGCUGGGCCUCCAUGAACUGCGUUCCAGAAUCACCAUCAUACCACAGGACCCAGUGCUGUUUUCAGGCUCUCUGAGGAUGAACCUGGAUCCUUUUGACAGCUACUCUGAUGAGGCAGUAUGGAGGGCUCUGGAGUAUUCCCAUCUCAAGAGCUUUGUGUCCGGCCUGCCAAACAAACUCAACCACGAGUGUAGUGAAGGAGGAGAGAACCUCAGUGUGGGUCAGCGCCAGCUGCUGUGCCUGGCCAGAGCUCUGCUGAGGAAGACCAAGAUCCUGGUUCUAGACGAGGCCACAGCAGCCGUGGACAUGGAGACAGACAACCUGAUCCAGUCCACCAUCCGCUCUCAGUUUGAGGACUGCACCGUCCUAACAAUAGCUCACCGCCUCAACACCAUCAUGGACUACACCAGGGUCCUGGUGUUGGACAAGGGAGAGAUGGCAGAGUUUGACUCACCCUCCAACCUCAUCGCUCAGAGAGGAGCCUUCUACAAGAUGGCCAAGGACGCUGGGCUGGUGUGAAGCAGGCGGGGGGGGGGCCUCCCUUUGUUCAGCUGCUCCUCUGAGCCCCCGCCAGCUCCUCUGCUCUCCGCUGUGGACGUCCCAGUUACAGACUGAGACGCAGAUACAACAGCUCUUUUUCUCAACUGCCGUCGGGCUUUGCGCUGCCCUGCGCCGGGUGCAAGCUAGGGCCCUCAGUGUUUCAGGCAGAGGAGCUGCAGCAAAGGGUAGUAUGAGAAACAUAGUAUGUUAUUUGGACAUCAAAGCAUGUAAACCUAUUAUAGCAGACCCCAAGAGUACAAAUAUGAUGCUGAAAAGGAGCAUAACAGGGGCUCUUUAAGAUGAAAGCAAUGCUCCCCCCUAAUUUUGUGAACAUCAAAGGAAUUUUAUCCCAACCUCGAUGUGUUUGGGGGCACCACAGAGGUCUGACAAGCGUGCCAAUUUCCGUGAGUUUUUGAGCGUCCCAAGCCCCUCAAAAAAGCGAUUGCGGAGCAGAAAAUGAUACUCAUUAGGUUCCUCACACUUUCAUGCUCGGGCCCCAAAUAUCCCCAGGCCUAUCUGUAAAGCAGGUGUCCUAGAGCACAGCGAAGUGGACUCCAAUCCAUUUGAAUUAGUAGGCAGUAUGGAACUGGGACACAGCUCAUGUUUUCACCUUUUAGCUAGCAAAGCUAGCUGAUACUAUAUAGGGCACCGCACUCGGUGUGUUCAGUGUAAUAUAAGAUCGUUAGAAGUGAUUCUUCUGAGGGGGGGGGGAGUGUCAUCAGCUGGAUGUGUUGGGAGCAACAGCAGCUGGUUGGUCAGAAACAUCAGUCAGGCUGAUGAUGUCACAGGCCCAGGCAGUGAUGGUCUCUAACAUUGAACAUCAACCCAUAUAUCAUUACAAAACCGCAAACGCACAAACUCUGGGAAUCUGUUGGAUAGAUUCCAUUUGACUGUUACUUUACAUGCAGCACUGACAUGCAGCAUAUUUAUUGUCUUUGUGUUCUUUGAGCAGCAGCUUUAAAUGGAUGUGUUCCUGCAAGCUGCUCUAAGUUAGGUUAGAGCUCUACACAUGUAAUAAAUGAGAUAUUUUGAUUAUACAAAACCACUAUUGUUCAGAGUUUUUUUUUUUUUUUUCAGGUGAACUCUAAUGAAGUCACAGUGUACACAAAAUGGACGUUAUAAUCUCUUUAGGUUCAUUUUGUCUUAUGUACACAUAGCUUUUAAAUUGUUUACAGCUGACAUGACCUGACAUUUGACGUGAAGCACUUUGACAUUGUUCUGUAAAAGGUGCUAUAUUAAAUAAAGAUUCUUCUUAGCAUUAUAAUUAGAAUUAUUACUAUUAUUAUUAUUACAUGCUUCAAACAAAUGGAUGAAUACCAACACUUA